UACGAAGGGGGCUAGCGUUGCUCGGAAUUACUGGGCGUAAAGGGCGCGUAGGCGGAUGUUUAAGUCAGAGGUGAAAGCCCAGGGCUCAACCUUGGAACUGCCUUUGAUACUGGGCAUCUUGAGUACGGGAGAGGUGAGUGGAACUCCGAGUGUAGAGGUGAAAUUCGUAGAUAUUCGGAAGAACACCAGUGGCGAAGGCGACUCACUGGCCCGUUACUGACGCUGAGGCGCGAAAGCGUGGGGAGCAAACAGGG
rnacentral:rRNA from 1 species